rnacentral:rRNA from 1 species
CGAACGCUGGCGGCGUGCUUAACACAUGCAAGUCGAGCGGAAAGGCCACUUCGGUGGUACUCGAGCGGCGAACGGGUGAGUAACACGUGAGUAAUCUGCCCCUCACUUUGGGAUAGCCACCGGAAACGGUGAUUAAUACCGGAUAUGACCAUAUGUCGCAUGGCGUGUGGUGGAAAGUUUUUCGGUGAGGGAUGUGCUCGCGGCCUAUCAGCUUGAUGGUGAGGUAAUGGCUCACCAUGGCUUCGACGGGUAGCCGGCCUGAGAGGGUGACCGGUCACACUGGGACUGAGACACGGCCCAGACUCCUACGGGAGGCAGCAGUGGGGAAUAUUGGACAAUGGGCGGAAGCCUGAUCCAGCAACGCCGCGUGAGGGAUGACGGCCUUCGGGUUGUAAACCUCUUUCAGUACCGACGAAGCGCAAGUGACGGUAGGUACAGAAGAAGCACCGGCCAACUACGUG